UGCAAUCCGGACCAGUAAUCUUAUCGUUGUACUUAUCCCAGACAAGACACAGGAUUAGACAGCAAACAGAGAAAACAGAGGAAAUGAGAAAAGGCAUCCAAAAGAUAGUGUUACAAGAGUGCAGGAAACUUUGCAAAUCUGAUUGUGGAUGGAUCAUUCAACAACCCCCCCCCCUUCUCUAUUCAAACAGGGCUUCACAUUUAGAUCCAGUUGAGGACCAUCCCUGAGAUUCAAUGUUUGAUGCUUCUUCAAUGCAGGAUGUCUGCUAACUCAACGAGGCAGGCUGUGGCCACCUUCCAAGGAAUGACUCAGGAGAGUCCAGAAAUGACGAUAAAGCAGCCAGAUCUCUCUUUCCUUGUGAGAGAAGACCAAAGCUCUCACCCAUCCAGCACCCUUCCCAGUGCUCCAGUAGAGAUGUGGGCCGUGUCAGCUUAUUUCUCCUUCCAGAUGCCCUGCCUUUCUCUGCAGCCACUUGCUUUAUUCCUUUUUCGUUUGGAGGAGGUUAGAGGAGAGGAGGCAGGAAAAGCCUCAGAGGAGGUAAGCUAACCUCUAAGUGACUCUAUGGGUCCUGUGAAUGCAGUGACAUUAACGUCCAUGAGAAUUUACAGCCUCCGCUGGCUCUGGAAUGACGUUUGUCUGAGAACCACUAGUAAAACAGCUGCAUGGGAAGUCUUGCUUCUUUGGGCAUACUUUUUCAUAUUUAACUUCUUUGGGAGCAAUAUUUUGUUUCGUCAAGGAUGAUAACUCAUUAUGUAACUUUAUAAUCAAAAUAUAUAAUUUCUCACAAUAAAUGAAAAAAAAUUGGGUGUAAUACCUUGCAUGACACCUAGUACUUCGCGCUAAAUAAUGGGGUAGACGAUUUGGCGUCUGGCUCCCCUAACUGGUGCUCAGUAUUACCCCCAGGUCAACCCAGCACCCUCUCUCUUGUCACAGCCUGCUAGGUAGUCUCCCCACAUCUCUUCUCACCCUCUGCAUACAGCAGCCAGAAUACUCUUCUCUUCUUAAAAAAUAAACAAUUACCAAAACCUCUCCCGUGGCCUGGGAAGCAUUCAUUUCACAGCAACAAGCUAUGUGUCUUCUGACAGAAAGCAGGGGAGGCUGGAGACAGCCAUUUGGAGAAAUGAGUCCGAAUGAAUGCUGUCUUGCAUUCAUUCAACAAAUGUCUUAUCAAGCAGCUUUCAUGGGCAGUGAA
rnacentral:lncRNA from 1 species